UACGGAGGGUGCAAGCAUUAAUCGGAUUUAUUGGGCGUAAAGGGCGCGUAGGCGGGGAUGUCAGUCAGAUGUGAAAUCCCGGGGCUCAACCUCGGAACAGCAUUUGAAACUACAUCUCUUGAGGGUAGGCGGAGAAAACGGAAUUCCACAAGUAGCGGUGAAAUGCGUAGAUAUGUGGAAGAACACCGGUGGCGAAGGCGGUUUUCUAGCUUACUCCUGACGCUAAAGCGCGAAAGCAAGGGGAUCAAAC
rnacentral:rRNA from 1 species